rnacentral:rRNA from 1 species
UUACUGAGUUUACGCUCUAUAACCCUUUGUGAACAUACCUAUAACUGUUGCUUCGGCGGGUAGGGUCUCCGCGACCCUCCCGGCCUCCCGCCUCCGGGCGGGUCGGCGCCCGCCGGAGGAUAACCAAACUCUGAUUUAACGACGUUUCUUCUGAGUGGUACAAGCAAAUAAUCAAAACUUUUAACAACGGAUCUCUUGGUUCUGGCAUCGAUGAAGAACGCAGCGAAAUGCGAUAAGUAAUGUGAAUUGCAGAAUUCAGUGAAUCAUCGAAUCUUUGAACGCACAUUGCGCCCGCCAGCAUUCUGGCGGGCAUGCCUGUUCGAGCGUCAUUUCAACCCUCAAGCUCUGCUUGGUGUUGGGGCCCUACAGCUGAUGUAGGCCCUCAAAGGUAGUGGCGGACCCUCCCGGAGCCUCCUUUGCGUAGUAACUUUACGUCUCGCACUGGGAUCCGGAGGGACUCUUGCCGUAAAACCCCCCAAUUUUCCAAAGGUUGACCUCGGAU